rnacentral:rRNA from 1 species
GGAGUUAGCCGGUGCUUCUUCUGCGAGUAACGUCACAGAUGUAAGGUAUUAACUUACACCCUUUCCUCCUCGCUGAAAGUGCUUUACAACCCGAAGGCCUUCUUCACACACGCGGCAUGGCUGCAUCAGGGUUUCCCCCAUUGUGCAAUAUUCCCCACUGCUGCCUCCCGUAGGAGUCUGGGCCGUGUCUCAGUCCCAGUGUGGCUGAUCAUCCUCUCAGACCAGCUAGGGAUCGUCGCCUAGGUGAGCCUUUACCUCACCUACUAGCUAAUCCCACCUGGGCUUAUCCAUCAGCGCAAGGCCCGAAGGUCCCCUGCUUUCCCCCGUAGGGCGUAUGCGGUAUUAGCAGUCGUUUCCAACUGUUAUCCCCCACAAAUGGGCAAAUUCCCAGGCAUUACUCACCCGUCCGCCGCUCGUCAUCUUCAAAAGCAAGCUUUUGAAAUGUUACCGCUCGACUUGCAUGUGUUAGGCCUGCCGCCAGCGUUCAAUCUGAGCAGAUACAACUACUGA